GUUCUAGUAUGGAUCGCCAGGUA
rnacentral:piRNA from 1 species